rnacentral:rRNA from 1 species
CCUACGGGAGGCAGCAGUGAGGAAUAUUGGUCAAUGGACGAGAGUCUGAACCAGCCAAGCAGCGUGAAGGAUGACUGCCCUAUGGGUUGUAAACUUCUUUUAUAUGGGAAUAAAAUGUUCCACGUGAGGGAUUUUGUAUGUACCAUAUGCAUAAGGAUCGGCUAACUUCGUGCCAGCAGCCGCGGUAAUACGGAGGAUCCGAGCGUUAUCCGGAUUGAUUGGGUUUAAAGGGAGCGUAGGUGGAUUGUUAAGUCAGUUGUGAAAGUUUGCGGCUCAACCGUAAAAGUGCAGGUGAAACUGGCAGUCAUGAGUACAGUAGAGGUGGGCGAAAUUCGUGGUG